GAUGAACGCUGGCGGCGUGCCUAAUACAUGCAAGUCGAGCGAACAGACGAGGAGCUUGCUCCUCUGACGUUAGCGGCGGACGGGUGAGUAACACGUGGAUAACCUACCUAUAAGACUGGGAUAACUUCGGGAAACCGGAGCUAUACCGGAUAAUAUAUUGAACCGCAUGGUUCAAUAGUGAAAGACGGUUUUGCUGUCACUUAUAGAUAGAUCCGCGCCGCAUUAGCUAGUUGGUAAGGUAACGGCUUACCAAGGCGACGAUGCGUAGCCGACCUGAGAGGGUGAUCGGCCACACUGGAACUGAGACACGGUCCAGACUCCUACGGGAGGCAGCAGUAGGGAAUCUUCCGCAAUGGGCGAAAGCCUGACGGAGCAACGCCGCGUGAGUGAUGAAGGUCUUCGGAUCGUAAAACUCUGUUAUUAGGGAAGAAUAAAUGUGUAAGUAACUAUGCACGUCUUGACGGUACCUAAUCAGAAAGCCACGGCUAACUACGUG
rnacentral:rRNA from 1 species